rnacentral:rRNA from 1 species
UACGUAGGGUGCGAGCGUUAAUCGGAAUUACUGGGCGUAAAGCGUGCGCAGGCGGUUCGCCAAGUCAGGUGUGAAAUCCCCGGGCUUAACCUGGGAAUUGCGCUUGAAACUAGCGGGCUUGAGUGUGGCGGAGGGGGGUGGAAUUCCACGUGUAGCAGUGAAAUGCGUAGAUAUCUGGAGGAAUACCGGUGGCGAAGGCAGCCCCCUGGGCCAACACUGACGCUCAGG